AAUCCCUCUCAAAGAUGUGGAACCAGAACUCUUAUGGUAAAGGAUGGAAGUUCACCACAAGAAAUGAAAUCAGCAAGAGUAAAUGAAGACCUCUGUAGCCAGGAAAAAGAUAGUGUUGCACAGAUAAGGCCUGAAAUACAUCAAAGAAGCAUGGUGAUCUGAAGCCUCAUGGUGUGUGUCAUUUUCAACAGGGUUACAAGGAUCAGCAAGUGUUUUUAAAAAUAGAAAUCACCAAGCAAGCCCAACUUAUUUUGUUGUUCAGCUUCCCCACUUUUUACCUGUGGCCCACUGGGUGGAAAGGAUGAACAACUUUUCUGAGUGCUCAUCUCUUUAAUGAAGUGGUAGGAAGGAGAGAUGUAGGAAGAAAAUUAAAUAAUGAAGUGUUGGUUCCACACACCCUUACUCAGCUAGCACUUUGAAUAUGUUGACCUACUGGAGUAUAAAGAUUUGGAAAGACAUUUAUUAAUUUUUAAGAGUAAGGCAAAAUUAGAGAGGUAAUGGAUCUCAAGCAGCUCCUGAGUCAUUGUAUCUUAGAUAUUCAUCAGUGGACUGGUGCAAUACAGCCAUCUCCUAUUUUCAGGGCUGCUUUUAGAGGAACUUUAUCAGUCUACAGGAAUUAAAAACUAACUGAACAAAAAGUACAAAUAAUUAAUCAUAUAAAAUGCAUUCACCUGUGUUCCAAUUACUUUAGUUUGUAUUUUGAACCAUCAGUGAAAUAAGAGGUGUGACACAUCCAAGUGUGUCUAAAUUAUAUAUAAAAAAAAAUUUAUUAGUGUUUAAGACAAAUAUUUCAUUUG
rnacentral:lncRNA from 1 species